AAGCCCGAAUGCAAGCGAUCUAACUUUGAAGAGUGUUUAGUUGAGUAUACUGAAGAUUGAAAUGUAGAGGGGUACACACCUGCCAUUCAAUUGAUAGUUGGUGGUUAAAUGUCAUACGAGCUGUGUUAAUAUCUGGGUGUGUUCGAAACAUGUAAUGGUGUCUAAUAAAUGUUGUCCACAGAUUGUUGUUAAAUGAUUUAAUUGAAACCCGAAUGCCUUUCACAGAUUCUUUAAGAGAAGUAUUAUUAUUAGUCAUUUGCAAUUCGGUUAAGAUGGGUAUUCGCUUAUGUUACAAAUGGGAUUAGCCCAAAUAAAUGGUUAAAGUUUAGAAUGCUGUGUUUUCAAUCAAAUUAUCUAUGGGUUUUCAGAUACACACCUUACACAGCUCUAAAGUUGGAUUAAUAGCAUCCAUCUUUUUAAAAGUGUGUAGUAUCUUAUGAGCUCUGUUUUCCGAAUGGAUAAUCAGAUGCCUAUGUAUGUGUUUCCAAAAGACAAAUAUUGCUGAAGCUCGUUUAAGUUAAGAUAGAAUAUUGUCCACAAUAAACCAUAGCUGUGGUGUAAUUAAGCUGUGGUGUAAAAAUUGCAAUUCAAGUAAUUGUAAUUCGUGUUAACCUAAUAAUAUAUCCAAUACUUUGUUAUCGCUGUCACACACAUUGCAAGAUUCAAUUCCUCAAGCGAGAUCCUUUUAGUUGUAGCUGAAGGGUUUUAUUUUCUUAAUAAAACCUUAAUCUCAUGCACCCGAUACAAAGUCUUUUGAUUGGUAUCGUGUGGGUGUGCCUGUUAUUAGUUGGUGUGCCUGGUAUAUCUCUAGUGUGACAUCUCAUUAUUAGAGGGCCAAAGGCCCAAUAACCUGAAACAGAUACCCGUGUGAUAUUUUUUGAAAUCGUGUGUGGGUGAAUAUUAGUUCGUGUGAGAUCUCUUUAUUAUAGGACCAUCAAACAUUUAAAGGUAAUUAGAUUGGCCAUUUACAAAAUAGUGUCAGGGUUGUACACGUUAAAACAGGUUGGUGGUUUAUUAACAUCGGGGGUUCAUAAUAAAGAGGCGUAAAGAAUUUUGCAAGUAAUAGGUGGAACUUAGGGAUAA
rnacentral:rRNA from 14 species